GGGAGGAGCGGGAGGUGGCGGAGGCGGCGGCGGGGCCGGGACGGAGCCGGGCCGGGCUCGAAGUUUGCCGGUCGGGGUCCGCGUGGAGGAGGAGAUGGACUGGUCCGGGCUGAGCUCCCAGUGCAGGAAUCACAGUCAUGGCUCCCAUUGGUUGCCAGGGCUUGGUCAUCGAAACAUGUCUGCACAGGAAAACAGAGAACCAACAAAGGAAAAAGAAGCUUUGCCUCUUAUAGAGGACCCUAGUAACUGUGACAUUGUGAAAGCUACCCAAUAUGGGAUUUUUGAGCGAUGCAAGGAGUUGAUAGAAGCUGGAUAUGAUGUCAGACAACCGGACAAAGAAAAUGUGUCUCUUUUACACUGGGCUGCUAUAAACAACAGACUGGAUCUUGUAAAGUUUUAUAUUUCAAAAGGUGCUGUUGUGGAUCAGUUGGGUGGGGACUUAAAUUCAACCCCUCUUCACUGGGCCAUCAGACAAGGACAUUUACCUAUGGUAAUAUUGUUACUACAGUGUGGUGCAGAUCCCAUGCUCAUUGAUGGGGAAGGAUUUAGUGGUAUCCAUCUGGCAGUAUUAUUUCAGCAUAUGCCUGUCAUAGCAUAUCUUAUCUCAAAGGGUCAGAAUAUAGACACAACAGACUUAAAUGGGCAAACACCACUCAUGCUGUCAGCUCACAAAGUACUUGGACCAGAACCCACUGGAUUUCUUUUAAAGUUUAAUCCUUCUAUCAAUGUGGUAGAUAAAGUUCACCAAAACACUCCACUCCACUGGGCAAUUGCAGCAGGAAAUGUUAGUGCUGUUGACAGACUUUUACAAGCUGGUUCCAGUCUGGAUAUCAGAAACAGCAAGGGAGAAACACCACUUGAUUUGGCUCAGAAAAACAGACAUCGUCUGAUUAUCCACAUGCUAACAGUGGAAGCUAAAAUAAGAGCAAACAAAAACUUAAGACUUUGCAGGUGGCUACAGAAAUGUGAGCUUUUCCUGCUGUUGGCACUUUCCACGAUUACAAUGUGGGCAAUAGGAUACAUAAUGGACCUCAAUUCAGAUUCUUGGCUUUUAAAAGGAAGUCUUCUCGUUGCAGUAUUUUUUGUUACAUCUUUAUUUCCAAGGUUCCUGGUGGAGCAUAAGAAUCUCAAGUAUUUGCCAGCCCUUAUUUUGCUGAGCUCCAUUUUUUGGAUAUCCCUGACGUGGUUCAUGUUAUUUUUGCCUGAUUUAACAGGCACCACUGUUCAGAUUUCUUUCUUUCUCAGUGUGAUUGGCCUCCUCUACUUUUUCUACAAAACCUGGGUCACCAAUCCUGGCUACUCUAAGACUUCAGAAGAAGAAAGGAAAAUGAAUAUCAUUGCCCUUGCAGAAGCUGGUUGCCUGGAUUUCAGAACAUUUUGCACAACCUGUCUUGUAAAGAAACCAUUAAGGUCCCUCCACUGUCAGCUCUGUAAUUCCUGUGUGGCUCGAUAUGAUCAGCACUGCCUAUGGACUGGACGCUGUAUAGGUUUUGGAAAUCAUCACUAUUAUAUAUUCUUCUUAAUUUUCCUUGCCAUAGUCUGUGACUGGAUGCUAUAUGCAACUCUUCUCUAUUGGUCCAAUCAUUGCACUACAACGUACCAUCAAGAUGGAGCAUGGACCUACCUCAGUCAGAUUGUGUCCUGUUCUCCUUGGGUUCUAUACAUCUUCAUGCUGGUGUCUUUCCAUGUAUCAUGGUCUACUUUUUUGUUAUUAAAUCAGUUCUAUCAGCCUUCAGGUUUCUUUUAGCUGAGAGCCUACUGUGUGCUGAGGGGUCACAGUGAACAGUGAGAAUAGAUCCUAGUCCUCAAGCUUACCCUCUGAGUAAAAGCAUAAGUACAGCCCCGAUUAGACUCGUCCCCUGGCAGUCCCUGCUGCAGCUCCUCUCUAGGCUGUGCAAGCACCCAACCUGAGCCAAGGGAUUGAUCCUCGGGACUUCUAGGCACCUGCCCCUCAGGUCACCUCAAGGCUGCAGAAAUGACCCUUGGAGGCUGAGUUCUGUGCUCUGCAUCAGGGAUUGGAGCUCACAGCCUAGACAGCCUAUGCCAGUACAAAGAGUAUUCCAGCAGCCAAGAAGGGGAGAGCUCAGUUCUGGUUGGAGGAAUCAACAAUUCUAGAUUGAUUGAUAUUCUUUCUCCUCACUUUCCACCACGCAGUGUCUCCUGGUUUCUUGAAUUCAAAAUGCAAGCAAAAAUGUUUGCCACCAAAAAUGAAGAGAGAAAGAAGAAGCUCACAGCCUAGAUAUCCUAUGCCAAUACAAAGAAAGUAUUCCAGCAACCAAGAAGUGGAGAGCUCAGUUCUGGUUGGAGGAGUUAACACAUUCUAGAAUCAUAGUAUGUCGAGGCUGGAAGGCGCAUUUGAAAUCAUCGAUUCCAAUUUCCUCACGUUACAAACAAGCCUCCGUUGAAGAGGCAGCCCAGCUCAAGAAACCUGGAAGUCGACCAUCUAAAGAUGGAUACAAUUUCAACAGGCACAGACAAAUGGAAUGAUGAAGGAAUUCUAAGCCAAGGACACGGAGAGCAUUUAAAAAUGAAAUUGAAAAGAAGACAACAAAAAGGUACAACAUGGAACAGCUCUGCAAAUAUUUCCAUAGCAAGCUAUUGGCACCAUCAGAACUCCAGGCCACUUCAGUGCAUCUGGAAUCAUCUUCAGUGACAGAAUAUCACCAUUAGAAUGCAAACUACUGAAGGGCAUUAAGCUCAAAAUGCUGGCAUCUGUGCUGUUACAGUGGCUGCAGAUGCUUUGAUGCCUUCUUCAUUGAAUUCCAGAGAAAAUGAGUGAAAAGUCCUUGACAGUGGAAAUGGCAGAUCUUUCAGCCCAAAUGACCUGGAUGAUUGCCUUGAUUUUCCAUUUCCUUCUGCCUUCAUAUGUACGUUAACAG